AUGGAGAGAUUGAAGGAGAGACUUCUAAAGCUUGUGGGCCGUGGCACUAACGGACCUGCCUCCCAAAGUGGACAGUUUGGUGCGUGGGACGCACUAACACUCCCGUCCUUUGAUGCUUCUCUUUGGACAUUAGCGAGCAACAAUCCCAUCUCCCUUUCUGCCUUCGACAUGUUCGGUGGAGGAACCAGACUGGAAGUUAACUUGGGUCGAGUCGCCCCCACCCUGACGGUGCUGCCCCCCUCCAGCCAGGAGCUGCAGCAGGGUAAGGCCACGCUCACGUGUCUGGCCAACAAGGGCUUCCCCUCAGACUGGAGUCUGGCCUGGAAGGUGGACGGCAGCAGCAGCAGCAGCAGCAGCAGCUGGGAGCAGAGCAGGAGACCCGGGGUGCUGCAGGGGGACGGCCACUACAGCUGGAGCAGCACCCUGAGGCUCACUGCAGACCAGUGGAGGAAGGUGGGCUCUGUGACCUGUGAGGCCACCCAGGGCUCCCAGUCUCCACUCUCAGAGACACUGAGGAGAGACCAGUGUUCCCAGUCCUGACCUGACUCACUGGGACUCUGCUACUGGUUUUACUCUGCUACUGCUCUCACUCUGAUCUCUGCAACUCUGUU